CGAGGGGCAGCGGGGUUGUAGCAAUACAACUGCCGGCGACCGGCGCACGGGUGAGUAACACGUAUGUAACCUGCCCUCUGCAGGGGGAUAAGCGGAAGAAAUUCCGUCUAAUACCGCAUAAUACAAUUUGGAGACAUCUCCGGGUUGUCAAAGGAGUGAUCCGGCAGAGGAUGGACAUGCGGCGCAUUAGCUAGUCGGCGGGGUAACGGCCCACCGAGGCUACGAUGCGUAGGGGUUCUGAGAGGAAGGUCCCCCACACUGGUACUGAGACACGGACCAGACUCCUACGGGAGGCAGCAGUGAGGAAUAUUGGUCAAUGGGCGGAAGCCUGAACCAGCCAAGUCGCGUGAGGGAAGACGGUCCUAUGGAUUGUAAACCUCUUUUGCAGGGGAGCAAGGCGCGGUACGUGUACCGCGAAGGAGAGUACCCUGAGAAAAAGCAUCGGCUAACUCCGUGCCAGCAGCCGCGGUAAUACGGAGGAUGCGAGCGUUAUCCGGAUUUAUUGGGUUUAAAGGGUGCGCAGGCGGACUGUUAAGUCAGCGGUAAAAUGUCGGUGCUCAACACCGGCCGGCCGUUGAAACUGGCAGCCUUGAGUGAGCGAGAAGUAUGCGGAAUGCGUGGUGUAGCGGUGAAAUGCAUAGA
rnacentral:rRNA from 1 species